rnacentral:rRNA from 1 species
CGAUUAAAGCUCCCUUCGGGGAGUGUAUAAAGCGGCGAACGGGUGAGUAACACGUGGGUAACCUAACCUCCGCGUGGGGAAUAACCCGCUGAAAGGCGGGCUAAUACCGCGUACGGUCCCCAGACGACAUCGGCUGGGGAAGAAAGUCGGCCUCUGCUUGCAUGCCGGCGCCGGAGGAUGGGCCCGCGGGCUAUUAGCUUGUUGGUGGGGUAACGGCCUACCAAGGCGAUGAUGGCUAGCCGGCCUGAGAGGGCGUACGGCCACACAGGGACUGAGACAAGGCCCUGUCCCCUACGGGAGGCGCAGGCGGGAAUCGUUCACAAUGGGCGCAAGCCUGAUGACGCGACGCCGCGUGAGGGAUGAAGGCUUUCGGGUUGUAAACCUCUGCCGGGAGAGAAGAAAGGCGAGCGGUUAAUAGCCGCUCGAGCUGACGUUAUCUCCCAAGAAAGCCUCGGCUAACUACGUGCCAGCAGCCGCGGUAAUACGUAGGAGGCAAGCGUUGUCCGGAAUUACUGGGCGCAAAGGGUGUGUAGGCGGGACGGUAAGUCGGGCGUGAAAUCCCACGGCUCAACCGUGGAACUGCGCCCGAUACUGCUGACCUUGAGUACGGGAUAGGAGAGUGGAACUCACGGUGUAGCGGUAAAAUGCGUAGAUAUCGUGAGGAACACCGGUGGCGUAGGCGGCUCUCUGGCCCGAUACUGACGCUGAGACACGAAAGCCAGGGUAGCGAACGGGAUUAGAUACCCCGG